rnacentral:rRNA from 1 species
CCUACGGGGGGCAGCAGUGGGGAAUUUUGCGCAAUGCUCGUAAGAGUGACGCAGCGACGCCGCGUGAAUGACGAAGGCCUUCGGGUCGUAAAGUUCUUUCGACAGGGAAGAAAAUGCAUAUAAGUAACUGUGUAUGUAUUGACGGUACCUGUAUAAGCAGCCCCGGCUAACUCCGUGCCAGCAGCCGCGGUAAUACGGAGGGGGCGAGCGUUGUUCGGAGGGACUGGGCGUAAAGAGCACGUAGGCGGUGUUGUAAGUCAUUAGUCAAAGACUAGAGCUCAACGUUAGUACGGCUAGUGAUACUAUAAUACUAGAGUAUCAGAGAGGAUUGCAGAAUUCCUGGUGUAGCGGUGAAAUGCGUAGAUAUCAGGAGGAAUACCGUUAGCGAAGGCGGCAAUCUGGCUGGAAACUGACGCUGAGGUGCGAAAGCGUGGGUAGCAAACAGGAUUAGAUACCCUUGUAGUC